AUAUAGAAUAUACAACGCUAGGGAUGCUGGGAUAAUGAUCUUGUUCUUGUGGGCUGAGUUUAUAGAGCCGGUGCGAUAGGGGGCGGGGCUGGGUACCAGAAUGCACCGGGGCUGCUGUGCUGGAACCGGAGGCGGCUGGUGUAGCGCUGAUCCUCUCAGUUGGGAAAAGGUUGACUAUUACUCAAAGAGAUCAGCCAACUUUCCCAGGAUCUGAGGAGCCUACAGACUGUACAAUCAGUUGGAUUUGUUUAUUUACACCAUCUGGCCGAAGAAGACUGUGCUCACUCUUGGGCCCACUGAGGCCCAACAAUACUGAAAUAUAGACUGAAUGAUGCCUACUCAUCCUCAGGAAUCUCCAGCUAACUCUCGGCUACUCUUACACCCUUCUCUGCAACCAGUUCAUAGCAGUCAUAACAUCUCCCGCUACCAACUCAAUCAACUUGGCUUGAACUAAUAUGACAAAUGGCAUGACAUUUGCCAUUUUGUUUACGGAACAUACUGCAGCAGCUUCUGUUUAAGUAGAAGGAAGGGAAGACGGUCAAGGGAAGACGGUCAAGGGAAGACGGUCAAGGGAAGACGGUCAAGGGAAGACGGUCAAGGGAAGACGGUCAAGGGAAGACGGUCAAGGGAAGAAAAUAGGGAAGAAGGUCAGACGGACCAUUCCAAAUGUAGUGUGUGCAGUUGGAGCAUCUCAGCAUUAACUGUGUAUACUAGGGACGUAGUGGGAGUUCUGGGCCACCGUUAGAUAAGGAGGAAGCACAUCAGCCCGAGGGUUUGAGGAAUCGAGCUCAGCUAGAACUGGUGCCUUCCCAUAUGUCCCAUCAUAUACAUAACCUUCUGUGAGUGUAUUUUCCUUGAAACAUGGACCAUUAAAGAAUGCAAAGUGUGAUGGGGCCAUCAUGGAGGCAUCUUGCUUAGUUGCCCCUGGGCCUAGAAAUUCACCUCUGAUGUAUGAAAUGGAUACAGACAUGGUUGGUGGAUAUAAUGAAUCCACAGGCUCCAGCCAGGUCAGCACUAGCUCAGGGAUAAAGGUAGAGGAAAUUGAUGCAGAUGGAGCUGUUGACCCUUACUCAGGAAGCAUUCGUGGAGAUGGUGGGACUACGCAGGUUGUACAGGCCGAUAUUUCUACACCUCUCGUUCCCGUCGAGGUGGCGAGCUCUCCGUUCAGAGGGACUCAGGGUAGGUCGGCAGUUUGGGACUUUUUUGAGAUUCCCCCUGGCCAUACCGCUGGCAACUCAGUUGUGGUCAUCUGCAAGAUAUGCGGAGCCCUAGUAAGACGAGGAAGUCCCGGCUGUCGACUGGGAACCACCUGCCUUUUUAAUCAUCUUGGCAGGGUCCAUGGGAAGCAUCUGCAUCGAGGACCUGCUGCCAACCAGGCAUUGCUGCCCCAGAAUUCCAAUUCCCUGACUUCUUCUGCAGAUGGCAGUAGGGUCACCGGGUCUUCCACCUCUUCCCAUGCAUGGGGCAGGGAGGUGUCCUCCACAGAGAUCAUGGUAUUGAACCGUAGGCCUAACAGGCAACAGACACGGAAGAACUAUGUGCCCGUUCCGCUAAGACAUCAGCCCCAUGCAGCCUGUAGACGGCAGGAAGCCAAUCAGGGCAUUAAGGAGACAAGGGAUCGGGGUGGCAGUCGGUUCUCUGCCCACCAGCGGGCGCUAAUGGCACGUCUGUAUUCGGAUGUUCUUAUCCAUUGCGACCUGUGCCAUGUAUUGUUGUCCUCAGGCGAGCGAGACCAGCACGUCCGCGACACAAUCAUCAUGACUCACAUGAGGUCCCAGCAUCCUCAGCGAUUCUGUCGCUUGGAACGUGAAGCUGCUCGAGACCUGCUUCGUGGUGACCUAGUGCUUUGUUCUACAGAACAUAACCCCAGCUGUGAGGCAGGAGGUCCGAUCGACUGAGUCUCUAACAUUUUGCCCCGUCUGCCUCUCUUCAAGAUUCAGCUGCCACAAGGACAGAAAAGUUUCCCCUAGAACAUAUGAUUAGAACAAAGAUCAAGCUUCCUAAAGAGGUCGUAAACCCAACACUGUCCCACAGCGCCCCCUAGCUUUGCUAUAGAAGUUGUCAAAAAACAUAAUUAUAGAUGCAAGGAAAUUCCCCAAUGAG